CUCCCGGGACGACCCUGGAGCGUGAAAUUACGGCGGGACGGCCCG
rnacentral:ncRNA from 1 species